rnacentral:rRNA from 1 species
GACGAACGCUGGCGGCGUGCUUAACACAUGCAAGUCGAGCGAUGAAGUUCCUUCGGGAAUGGAUUAGCGGCGGACGGGUGAGUAACACGUGGGUAACCUGCCUCAUAGAGGGGAAUAGCCUUCCGAAAGGAAGAUUAAUACCGCAUAAGAUUGUAGUAUCGCAUGAUACAGCAAUUAAAGGAGUAAUCCGCUAUGAGAUGGACCCGCGUCGCAUUAGCUAGUUGGUGAGGUAACGGCUCACCAAGGCGACGAUGCGUAGCCGACCUGAGAGGGUGAUCGGCCACAUUGAGACUGGGACACGGCCCAGACUCCUACGGGAGGCAGCAGUGGGGAAUAUUGCACAAUGGGGGAAACCCUGAUGCAGCAACGCCGCGUGAGAGAUGACGGUCUUCGGAUUGUAAAGCUCUGUCUUCAGGGACGAUAAUGACGGUACCUGAGGAGGAAGCCACGGCUAACUACGUGCCAGCCGCCGCAGUAAUAC